rnacentral:rRNA from 1 species
UACAGGGGGUGCAAACGUUGCUCGGAAUUAUUGGGCGUAAAGCGCGCGUAGGCGGCCACUUAAGUCGGAUGUGAAAGCCCCUGGCUCAACUGGGGAAGUGCACCCGAAACUGAAUGGCUUGAAUGCAAAAGAGGGUCGCGGAAUUCCCGGUGUAGAGGUGAAAUUCGUAGAUAUCGGGAGGAACACCGGUGGCGAAGGCGGCGAGCUGGGUUGACAUUGACGCUGAGGCGCGAAAGCGUGGGGAGCAAACAGG